rnacentral:hammerhead_ribozyme from 1 species
AUCCACCUGACAAGUUCCAAAUAGGACGAAAUGCGCGUCCUGGAU